rnacentral:rRNA from 1 species
GAUGAACGCUAGCGGCAGGCUUAACACAUGCAAGUCGAGGGGCAGCAUAAAUAGUAGCAAUACAAUUGGUGGCGACCGGCGGACGGGUGCGUAACGCGUAUACAACCUUCCCUAAACAGGGGGAUAAUCUGGAGAAAUUCGGUCUAAUACCCCAUAACAUCAGAGCAGGCAUCUGUUUUGGUUAAAAUUUCCGGAGGUUUAGGAUGGGUAUGCGUAGCAUUAGCUAGUUGGUGAGGUAACGGCUCACCAAGGCGACGAUGCUUAGGGGGACUGAGAGGCUAACCCCCCACACUGGUACUGAGACACGGACCAGACUCCUACGGGAGGCAGCAGUGAGGAAUAUUGGUCAAUGGGCGGAAGCCUGAACCAGCCAUGCCGCGUGCAGGAUGACGGCUCUAUGAGUUGUAAACUGCUUUUGUACGAGGGUGAAGUGGGCUACGUGUAGCCUUUUGAAAGUAUCGUACGAAUAAGGAUCGGCUAACUCCGUGCCAGCCGCCGCCGUAA